GGAGAUACAGCUCAGUGGCAUAAGCAUCUGCCUGGCAAGUACAAGGUCCUGAGUUUGAUUCCCAGUACCCCCC
rnacentral:tRNA from 1 species